rnacentral:tRNA from 1 species
UGUAGCUCAGUGGCAGAGCACAUGCUCCUCAUGCAUGAGGCCCUAAGUUCAAUUCCAGGCA